AACGAACGCUGGCGGCAUGCCUAACACAUGCAAGUCGAACGAGACCUUCGGGUCUAGUGGCGCACGGGUGCGUAACGCGUGGGAACCUGCCCUUAGGUUCGGAAUAACUCCCCGAAAGGGGUGCUAAUACCGGAUAAUGUCUUCGGACCAAAGAUUUAUCGCCUUUGGAUGGGCCCGCGUUGGAUUAGCUAGUUGGUAGGGUAAAAGCCUACCAAGGCGACGAUCCAUAGCUGGUCUGAGAGGAUGAUCAGCCACACUGGGACUGAGACACGGCCCAGACUCCUCGGGGGGGCAGCAGUGGGGAAUAUGGGAAAAGGGGCGAAAGCCUGAUCCAGCAAUGCCGGGUGGGUGAUGAAGGCCUUAGGGUGGUAAAGCUUUUUUCCCCGGGAUGAUAAAGACAGAACCGGGAAAAUAAGCCCCGGCUAACUCCGU
rnacentral:rRNA from 1 species